AUUGAACGCUGGCGGCAGGCCUAACACAUGCAAGUCGAGCGGUAGCACAGAGAGCUUGCUCUCGGGUGACGAGCGGCGGACGGGUGAGUAAUGUCUGGGAAACUGCCUGAUGGAGGGGGAUAACUACUGGAAACGGUAGCUAAUACCGCAUAACGUCGCAAGACCAAAGUGGGGGACCUUCGGGCCUCAUGCCAUCAGAUGUGCCCAGAUGGGAUUAGCUAGUAGGUGGGGUAACGGCUCACCUAGGCGACGAUCCCUAGCUGGUCUGAGAGGAUGAACAGCCACACUGGAACUGAGACACGGUCCAGACUCCUACGGGAGGCAGCAGUGGGGAAUAGUGCACAAUGGGCGCAAGCCUGAUGCAGCCAUGCCGCGUGUGUGAAGAAGGCCUUCGGGUUGUAAAGCACUUUCAGCGGGGAGGAAGGCGGUGAGGUUAAUAACCUCACCGAUUGACGUUACCCGCAGAAGAAGCACCGGCUAACUCCGUGCCAGCCGCCGCAGUAACAC
rnacentral:rRNA from 1 species